rnacentral:tRNA from 1 species
CGGGAAGUAGCGCAGCCUGGUAGCGCACUUGCUUCGGGAGCAAGGGGUCGGCGGUUCGAAUCCGCUCUUCCCGACCA